rnacentral:rRNA from 1 species
GACGAACGCUGGCGGCGUGCUUAACACAUGCAAGUCGAACGGAAAGGCCCUGCUUUUGUGGGGUGCUCGAGUGGCGAACGGGUGAGUAACACGUGAGUAACCUGCCCUUGACUUUGGGAUAACUUCAGGAAACUGGGGCUAAUACCGGAUAGGAGCUCCUGCUGCAUGGUGGAGGUUGGAAAGUUUCGGCGGUUGGGGAUGGACUCGCGGCUUAUCAGCUUGUUGGUGGGGUAGUGGCUUACCAAGGCUUUGACGGGUAGCCGGCCUGAGAGGGUGACCGGCGACAUUGGGACUGAGAUACGGCCCAGACUCCUACGGGAGGCAGCAGUGGGGAAUAUUGCACAAUGGGCGGAAGCCUGAUGCAGCAACGCCGCGUGCGGGAUGACGGCCUUCGGGUUGUAAACCGCUUUCGCCUGUGACGAAGCGUGAGUGACGGUAAUGGGUAAAGAAGCACCGGCUAACUACGUG